UGUGGAUGUCUACUUAAUCUCAUAUCGAUUAUUUAUUGAAAAGGUCUUGGAUACUUACAUAGAGUCAAAGAACAUAACUAACAUUUUCUAGCUAAUUUUUUUGGAUGAGAUUCUUGAUUGUUACAUGUUGUUUUGAUGAUUAUUGUUCUAAUUGCCUCAUCAUGCUUGUCUUUCCAAGCACUAAUGCAAAAUUUUUGGCAAGUGC
rnacentral:lncRNA from 1 species